AGCUACAAAGGGCACAGUGGUGGAUGCUCUGGCGCCAGGAGGCGAUGAAGGACGUGAGAGGCUGCGAUAAGCCACGGGGAGCCGCCAACUAGGCACCGAUCCGUGGAUUUCCGAAUGGGACAACCUGCUGGGGGUCAUACUCCAGUAUCCGACCGGUGAAUUCAUAGCCGGCGGAAGCCAACCGAGGGGAGUGAAACAUCUCAGUACCUCGAGGAAUAAAAAGCAACCGCGAUUUCCUCAGUAGCGGCGAGCGAACGGGAAACAGCCUAAACCGGCCGGGUGCGAUACCCCGUGAGGGUUAUCCGGUCGGUGUCGCGGGAGCGACCGUGCACUUUCACGGAAGUGCGGACGAGUCACCAAGAACGACGUUAGCCGAAGUGGAGCUGGAAAGCUCUGCCACAGAGGGUGAAAGCCCCGUAGGCGAAAACGUGCGUUCCUCGUCUGGUCGUUUCCCAAGUAGAGCGGGUCACGUGGAAGCCCGCUUGAAUCCGGGUGGACCAUCACCCAAGGCUAAACACUACCUGGC
rnacentral:rRNA from 1 species